UGGCGGNGUGCUUUACACAUGCAAGUCGAACGGCAGCACGGGGCAACCUGGUGGCGAGUGGCGAACGGGUGAGUAAUGUAUCGGAACGUACCUUUCAGUGGGGGAUAACGUAGCGAAAGUUACGCUAAUACCGCAUAUUCUGUGAGCAGGAAAGCAGGGGAUCGCAAGACCUUGCGCUGAUUGAGCGGCCGAUAUCAGAUUAGCUAGUUGGUGAGGUAAAGGCUCACCAAGGCGACGAUCUGUAGCGGGUCUGAGAGGAUGAUCCGCCACACUGGAACUGAGACACGGUCCAGACUCCUACGGGAGGCAGCAGUGGGGAAUUUUGGACAAUGGGGGGAACCCUGAUCCAGCCAUGCCGCGUGAGUGAAGAAGGCCUUCGGGUUGUAAAGCUC
rnacentral:rRNA from 1 species